rnacentral:rRNA from 1 species
CCUACGGGUGACAGCAGUGAGGAAUAUUGGUCAAUGGACGCAAGUCUGAACCAGCCAAGCCGCGUGCAGGAUGACGGUCCAAUGAGUUGUAAACCUCUUUUGUCAGGGGGCAAAAUCUGGUACGCGUCCCCUGUUGAAUGUACCUUACGAAAAAGGAUCGGCUAACUCCGUGCCAGCAGCCGCGGUAAUACGGAGGAUCCAAGCGUUAUCCGGAUUUAUUGGGUUUAAAGGGGGCGCAGGCGGUUUUUUAAGUUAGCGGUGAAAAUCCGGGGCUCAACCCCGGCCCAGCCGCUGAAACUGGAAGACUAGAGUAGGAGAGCGGUAGGCGGAAUGUGUGGUGUAGCGGUGAAAUGCGUAGAGAUCGCGCAGAACACCGAUUGCGAAGGCAGCAUGCCGGACUAAAACUGACGUUGAGGCACGAAAGCGUGGGGAGCGAACAGGAUUAGAUACCCUUGUAGUC